AUAAAACACGAUUAUCAGUUAACCACAAAAAUAUCUGAAGAUCGCAAAAAUAUUGCAACCCCUGCAGAGCUCUCUUCUCCACAGCAACAACUGGACAGAAAUCACACAAAAGCGGUGCCAUAAAUAAUUGUUGCUGCAGCCUCUGACUGGAAUCGACGUGAAGCAGAUGCAGAGAGAUGAGGUGGCCAGGGAUACACAGGGGAGCUGAUGGGGGCGCAGGACAAAGGUGGCUGAGCCCGAGGUCUUAAAGGGAAGAUGUGACCGGCGGCUCCAUGAAUACAUUUGGCC